rnacentral:rRNA from 1 species
GACGAACGCUGGCGGCGUGCUUAACACAUGCCAGUCGAACGGAAAGGCCUGCUUUCCCUUGUGGAUUGCGGGUACUCGAGUGGCGAACGGGUGAGUAACACGUGAGUGAUCUGCCCCCAACUUGGGUAUAAGCCUGGGAAACUGGGUCUAAUUCCCGAUAGGACUGCAGGGUGGUGCCUGUGGUGGAAAACGAUUUUCUAGUGGUUGGGGAUGAGCUCGCGGCCUAUCAGCUUGUUGGUGGGGUAAUGGCCUACCAAGGCGGCGACGGGUAGCCGGCCUGGGAGGGUGGACGGCCACAUUGGGACUGGGACACGGCCCAGACUCCUACGGGAGGCAGCAGUGGGGAAGAUUGCACAAUGGGCGGAAGCCUGAUGCAGCGACGCCGCGUGGGGGAUGACGGCCUUCGGGUUGUAAACUCCUUUCGACCGCGAGGAAGCCACCUGGUUGGAAGGGUGGUGACGGUAGUGGUAGAAGAAGCACCGGCUAACUACGUG